AUGUGUUAUUUCAUAGUUUUGAUGUAAGAAUAGAAGAUAAACCCUUGAAUGAGUAGGUGUGUCCAAACUUUUGACUGGUGCUGCAUAUACUAGGCGGUGUCAGAGGAAGGCCCAAAACAUUGGCAAGAGGUACCCGAGCGCCAAGUCUAGAUCCAGAAGGCUCCUUAAGAGCUUCUACCCCCAAGCCAUAUGACUGCUGAACAAUGAAUCAAAUGGCCAGCAGGACCGUUUACAUUGACCCACCCACCCCUUUUUGUUUUUACACUGCUGCUACUCACUGUUUAUUAUAUAUGUACUGUAUAGUCACUAACCCUACCUACAUGUACAAACUACCUCGACUAACCUGUACACCCGCACAUAGACUCGGUACCGGCACCCCCUGUAUAUAGCCUCUAUUGUUCUUUUAUUGUGUUGCUUUCUAUUUUAAUUUGACUUUAUUUAGUCAAUAUUUUCUUUACUCUCUUUCUUGAACUGCACUGGACUUGUAAAGUAAGCAUUUCACGGUUGUAUUCGCCGCAUGUGACAAAUAACAUUUGAUUUGGCUUAGAGACCAAACACAAGCGCUACUAACAGUUACUACUGAAGGGACACAUACACCUUAUCCAAAAUCAGACUUUGUUUCUUUAAUCCUCCUCAACACCCACCCUGCUCUGUCAUUGGCUAGCGUGUCAGUCUCUAGCUCAGUCUUUCAGGGUGGUCAUGGUGUUAAUUGCAGUGUUAAGCCAGAGCUGAGCCUAGCCCCCCAUAACCACAAAGGUUAAUUAGCAGCAGAAGGAUAACGCAACUAGAUAUGUUGACAUUUACAUUUUCUUCUCUCUCAUAAAACCAGAGAAAGAACCCCAUUUAGGGUGAAAUGAAGGGAAAACAUUUACUCUUUUAAAAACGCCCUCAUUUCUAUGCAAGGUCUGGCGUUGAUAUGCAGAUUUGGCGGUUGGUGACAUUUAAAAGUAGUUAAUUGUGCAAAUCUUUGUUUUAGGCUGUAAAGGUCGUGUGUUGGAAGUGGGUCUAAGCCCAGCUGCAGUGGUAGAGGGAGGGAAGGGAGGCCUGUCUCCAUUGACUGGGGCUACAAAGGGCUCCAUGCCUUUUCAAGACUGUUGGAUCAGAACACUUCUGUCCAGACAAGAGGAGAAUGAAGACCAAAGAGGAACUGUCAGAAAGUGACACAGAGGAAAAGAGACAUCCUCAGAACUACUUGUGCCAAUGCCGGUGGUUCCUGGUCCCCUGGCUGAUGCUGUCCCCAAUGACACCCCUCUGCCCCCCCUGGCUGAUGCUGUCCCCAAUGACACCCCUCUUCCCCCCCUGGAUGUAAAGGGAGGUCCUGCCUAUGCGGUCAGAUCCCUACUGGACUCCCGAUGUCGUGGGGUUCAGCUCCAGUACCUGGUGGACUGGGAGGGGUACGGCCCAGAGAGGCGGUGUUGGAGGACAUUCUGGAUCCCAACAUUAUCCGUGAUUUCCAUCUUCGCCACUCGGCCCGCUCCUUGUCCUCAGGCCGUCCUGCGGCUGGAGCCGUGCGUCGGGGGGUGAGGGCUACUGUCCCGUCUACUCCCGCUCCUCCCCUCCGGUGUUCGACGUUGCCGGUGAACUAACCACCGGUCCUGGCAUUCAUCAUUAAGUGCAUCUGCGCUUCAUCAAUAGGCACACCUAGACUCCAUUACCUCACUCAUUACCUACCCUUUAUCUGGCACUCCCUUAGGUUAAUUCCCCAGGCAUUAUUGACUAGGUGUUUCAUGUCUGUACGCUACUCAUGUUUCUUGUAUUGUUCUGAUUAUUAUUAAGCUCACCACCUGCACAUGCUUCCCAACUCCCGGCAUCCAUGUUACUCAAGGAUACUGAUAAGACUAUUCAAAGGGGGAAAUAUGUCAACAACUGUUCUAUGGAUGUGUGCGGGUGUAUAUGAAUGGAUAUGUGAGGGAGGGUGUAUAUAUAUAUAGAGGAUGUGAGAGAAUUGGUGGAGUGGCCUAGCCAGUCUCCAGAUCUCAACCCCAUAGAAAAUUUUGGGAGGGAGUUGAAAGUCUGUGUUGCCCAGCAACAGCCCCAAAACAUCACUGCUCUAGAGGAGAUCUGCAUGGAGGAAUGGGCCAAAAUAUCAGCAACAGUGUGUGAAAACCUUGUGAAGACUUACAGAAAACGUUUGACCUCUGUCAUUGCCAACAAAGGGUAUAUAACAAAGUAUUGAGAUAAACUUUUGUUAUUGACCAAAUACUUUUU